UAUUACAAGACUGCUAGCACCGUCUUGGUAAUCUGCGGCUCAUCAGUUCCGUGCGACGGAAGGCGUUGGAUCUAGAUCAAUUCCGUGUGGAUACACGUAGAGGCCGGGCACGUGCGCGGUUAAUCGGAAUCUCAAUUUCCACCGUACAGUAGAUCAAGAGACCUUAACUGGUCCGAGGUAAUGUAAUCUGAACUUUAAAUCUGUUUAGAUUAGAUUUUAUUUUACAUUGCAACAUGAGAAUGAUCCACCGGCACUGGAUUGAUUUGUUUUAUUUUGGUUCAUAUGUGAUAUGAAUUUUUGUUUUUCGAAAAUACAAUUUUAUUUUCCGCUGCAAUUUUUGUGCCAGAUAAAUUCUUACAAGUGCUAUGCGGGGCAAAGUGCUACACCAACGGGUUUCGGCACAACCAAAAUUAAUUCACUUACACGCUAGUUAUAAUAACUAGGUUUAAGCAUUUUGGGCCGAUGGUUUGGACCAACGAGUUAUUGUUACUAGCGGGAUGGAUCGUUGCACAAACAACAUUAAUUCACCUCCC
rnacentral:lncRNA from 1 species